GAGUCAGUAGCUCAGUUGGAUAGAGCAUUUGCCUUCUAAGCAAAGGGUCGGGGGUUCGAAUCCCUUCUGGCUCACCA
rnacentral:tRNA from 5 species